rnacentral:rRNA from 1 species
UACAGAGGGUGCGAGCGUUAAUCGGAAUUACUGGGCGUAAAGCGCGCGUAGGCGGCUUUGCAAGUCGGGUGUGAAAUCCCCAGGCUUAACCUGGGGAACUGCAUUCGAGACUGCAUUGCUAGAGUAUGGGAGAGGGAAGUGGAAUUUCCGGUGUAGCGGUGAAAUGCGUAGAUAUCGAGAGGAACACCUGCGGCGAAGGCGGGUUGCUGGGCUGACACUGACGCUGAUGCGCGAAAGCUAGGGGAGCGAACGGG